rnacentral:rRNA from 1 species
AAGAUAUUUYUUUGGAGUUGGCCCUUGUCUNUGUUCCUUGGAACAGGACGUCAUAGAGGGUGAGAAYCCCGUCUGAUGGGGUGUCCAWCUCUUUGUAAAGUUUUAUMGAAGAGUCGAGUUGUUUGGGAAUGCAGCUCUAAGUGGGUGGUAAAUUCCAUMUAAAGYUAAAUAUUGGCGAGAGACCGAUAGCGAACAAGUACAGUGAUGGAAAGAUGAAAAGAACUUUGAAAAGAGAGUGAAAAAGUACGUGAAAUUGUUGAAAGGGAAGGAUWUUAGAUCAGACUUGGUGUUUUACGAUUAUCUUCCCUUCUUGGGUUGUGCACUCGUGCUACACUGGSCCAGCAYCGAUUCGGACGGUAAGAUAAUGACUUAGGAACGUGGCACUCCUUCGGGGSUSUGUUMUMSCCUGUGUUGAUGUUGCCUGUCUGGAUCGAGGACUGCGUCU